rnacentral:lncRNA from 1 species
GUUGUUAUAAAAACUCGAUGGACCGAUCGAUUAAACUAAAUAAAUGGCUUGGUGACUAUUAUGAAAUAACCACAUAACCAUAGUUAUAUGAUUUUCUCCCCACCCUAGCAAACCUUGAAUUGGUACUUGCAUACCAAUUCAGGCACUUUUGCAAUUUGGUUCUUUCCAAUUACCCAUGAAUUUGCGGGAGCAAUAAUGGGUUUAGUCUUGAGACCUAGAAACAACACGACUUUAUCCAAGACAUAUAGAGUGUGGUAGAGGCACCAUUGAACAUCUUCUUUUUUCAAGCCUUGAGGGGAGUUGAGAGAGAGAGAGUCGAUAUGAGGCUGUCAAGGUAGAAAUGAAGAAUGUCAUGGAAGAUGGAAUCAAAUUAAAGCUGAAAAGAGAAAAAAAUCAAAGUGUUGGUUGGAAAUGAUAGGGUUUGGCAGAUGUAAGGAAGAAAUGGGAGAGUAUUUUUUUAAAGAAUGAGAAGUUGCGUGCAUACGAGAGAGGGUUAAAAAUAAAAAAGAUGGCAAGAUGUUUGUAUUAGUUAUUAAAUGUAUAAAUUAGACAAUUUCAUCUAUUGAGCACCUUUUUGUGCAAUCUUUCUAGUAAUUGUAUUAGAUAUUAAAAAUGUAUAUAUUAG